rnacentral:rRNA from 1 species
AGUCGAGCGAGUCUGCCUUGAAGAUCGGAGUGCUUGCACUCUGUGAAACAAGAUACAGGCUAGCGGCGGACGGGUGAGUAACACGUGGGUAACCUGCCCAAGAGAUCGGGAUAACACCUGGAAACAGAUGCUAAUACCGGAUAACAACAGAUGAUGCCUAUCAACUGUUUAAAAGAUGGUUCUGCUAUCACUCUUGGAUGGACCUGCGGUGCAUUAGCUAGUUGGUAGGGUAACGGCCUACCAAGGCGAUGAUGCAUAGCCGAGUUGAGAGACUGAUCGGCCACAUUGGGACUGAGACACGGCCCAAACUCCUACGGGAGGCAGCAGUAGGGAAUCUUCCACAAUGGACGCAAGUCUGAUGGAGCAACGCCGCGUGAGUGAAGAAGGGCUUCGGCUCGUAAAGCUCUGUUGUUGGUGAAGAAGGACAGGGGUAGUAACUGACCUUUGUUUGACGGUAAUCAAUUAGAAAGUCACGGCUAACUACGUGCCAGCAGCCGCGGUAAUACGUAGGUGGCAAGCGUUGUCCGGAUUUAUUGGGCGUAAAGCGAGUGCAGGCGGCUCGAUAAGUCUGAUGUGAAAGCCUUCGGCUCAACCGGAGGAUUGCAUCAGAAACUGUCGAGCUUGAGUACAGAAGAGGAGAGUGGAACUCCAUGUGUAGCGGUGAAAUGCGUAGAUAUAUGGAAGAACACCGGUGGCGAAGGCGGCUCUCUGGUCUGUUACUGACGCUGAGGCUCGAAAGCAUGGGUAGCGAACAGGAUUAGAUACCCUGGUAGUCCAUGCCGUAAACGAUGAGUGCUAAGUGUUGGGAGGUUUCCGCCUCUCAGUGCUGCA